AGGAUCUGGGGUAGCCGUGUGGGAGUCCUCCAAGGAUCGAAGCAGGCUUCAGAUCCAGAGACCCUCUAGUCAUCCAUGCAGAGCAAGGAUGGAGAGUUGGGAAUGGAUUUGCAACCACAGCAGGACCCAUGGUAAAUAUGUUCCCACUUCCUAGGAUGCCACCUUCUCUCCCACUCAGAGAAAGGCCUUGUGUAGCCAAGGUCACCAGCUGUACUGUGCCCAGCCCCUGGAAAGAUCUCAUCUGCCAGGCUCAUCGAGGUGUGUGUGUGUGUGUAUGUGUGCGUGUGUGCGUGUGCGUGUGAUGUGUGUGUGUGUGUGUGUGUGUGUGUUUGGGGGCCAUCACACGUGUCACACCUCUCCUCCUAGGUUAUUGAGUAAGAGAUGAGGAGGGUACCUGUCCAGGCUAUGAGAGAGGAAGUUGGCAGGCUGGAUCUGGAGGUCCAGUCAACUAUUGGGGACCUGAAGGCCCUGCAGGGCCAGGCUCUUCUCCUGCUCUCUUUCCUCCUGACACUCUCCUGGAUACCACUGGGACUCAAGGACAUACCUAGGUAAAAGGAUUCUGUGGGCCUCUAGACUUCUGCUUCUCUAAGUAUGGUCCAUGGACCAGCAACACUGGCAGAAAUGCAAAAUCUCAGGCCCCAACCCAGACCAGCCCAGGACCCAUGGAGUCAGAACCUGGAUUGUAACAAGAUCUCCAAGAGAUUCAUCUGAACAUUAAGGUUUGAGAAGCCCUGCCCUGUUCGGGCCUUCCUGUACUCUGCCUGCAGGAGAGUGGCUGUGGUGGUUAAAUUGAGAGUGGCAUCUGCGAAGCCACACGCAGCUCUGCCUGGGUCCUGCUGGUACUAGCUGUAGAGUCUUGGCAUCAUCUUCCUGUGCGUCAGUCUCUAUUCUGUGAACUGGAAAUAGUGCCUCCUCCAAUGGGUCACUGUGACUUAAAUGAGUCAUUGCAUGUAAAGGGCUUGGAACAGGGCCUGAUACAUUGCAAAUACCAGUAACUGUUAGAUUUGUUGCUAAAUAUGUGUCAGUGGCCCUGGCGGUGCUGGCCCCACCCAUUAAUGUGUACACAUCUUCCCCUACUGACCUGGCAAAAGAGUGUCCCCCAACAUACUGCUCUGAUGUUAGAGUGCCCCCCUUGUGGCUCUGCCCUUAGUCUCCAGGUCUCCUGAGGUGCCAUAGAGUGGGUUAUCUUGUUACAGGACAGCCCUUCCAUUCUGGGAAGUCCCUCUCCUUCCAAGACCUCUUUUAUCCAGGUUAAUCAUUUGUGGUCCUCAGAGCUGAUCUCUGCAGGCCCUGGCUACUGACCCCUUAGCCAUCCUGGGAGCACAUGGCCAUUUGUCUAUGUCCUUAAAGUACAUAGCUGAGAUCAGGGCACAGUCAUUUAGGGAUGUCUCAUGAUUGUCCCUUCAUAUCUGCUGAGUUUUGGGGACAGGCCAGUCAGGUGGCCAUAGGACAAGGUUUCUCUCCCAAGGGCUACCUCCAGGGUAACCCAGAUAGAAUAGAUGCUGAGCUCCCCAAGAAGGUCCAUAUGGAGCCGCAAAAAAAUGGAACCCCCUGGAGUUCUGGUGAGCACACAAGGGCAAAUCUGAGUAAAGGUAAGCCCAGCAGUUCCCUCACAUCUUCAUGAGCUGACUAUAGCAAUGUGCCUUGUCAUAGAUGGGAGAGGGCAGAUGGUGGCUCAUCCCAAAUGGGCAAUGCUCCACAACCUUUGGACCAUAGUAGGACUUAGAAUUUCCUGUUAAACUUUUGGUCAAUGUUUCUGGAAUGCAAAUAAAGUAAAUCAAAUC
rnacentral:lncRNA from 1 species